AUUGAACGCUGGCGGCAGGCUUAACACAUGCAAGUCGAGCGGGGGGAGGUAGCUUGCUACCUAACCUAGCGGCGGACGGGUGAGUAAUGCUUAGGAAUCUGCCUAUUAGUGGGGGACAACAUUUCGAAAGGGAUGCUAAUACCGCAUACGCCCUAAGGGGGAAAGCAGGGGAUCUUCGGACCUUGCGCUAAUAGAUGAGCCUAAGUCGGAUUAGCUAGUUGGUGGGGUAAAGGCCUACCAAGGCGACGAUCUGUAGCGGGUCUGAGAGGAUGAUCCGCCACACUGGGACUGGAAAACGGCCCAGGCUCCUACGGGAGGCAGCAGUGGGGAAUAUUGGACAAUGGGGGGAACCCUGAUCCAGCCAUGCCGCGUGUGUGAAGAAGGCCUUUUGGUUGUAAAGCACUUUAAGCGAGGAGGAGGCUACCGAGAUUAAUACUCUUGGAUAGUGGUCGUUACUCGCAGAAUAAGCACCGGCUAACUCUGUGCCAGCCGCCGCGGUAACAC
rnacentral:rRNA from 1 species